rnacentral:lncRNA from 1 species
CCCAGAUUUUUUUAUGCAACAAUAGAACAGAAGAUAAAAUAAUAUUGCAAACUAAAUAGAAAAAUAACAUAAUAAACAAAAUAAAACAAUUAAACAAAAUCAAAAGUAAUUAAAUUUGUAUAAAUGCCACCAAGAAAAAGAAAUAACCUAUUCAGCUUCAAUAAUCUCGCCCAGGAAACUUGGCAUUGGAAAUAGGCAAGCCAAUUUACCACACAUACAAGAAGAAACUAAAAAUGAAAUAUUCCAUUCCAAUGACAUGGGAAAUGUGGUGAACCAUUACAGGCUGUAAUAUGGUAUAAAGAAAUUUUAUCAA